rnacentral:rRNA from 1 species
ACGGAGGGUGCGAGCGUUGUCCGGAAUCACUGGGCGUAAAGGGCGCGUAGGCGGCUUGUUAAGUGGCUGGUGAGGUCCCGCGGCUCAACUGCGGGGCUGCCCGUCAUACUGGCGAGCUAGAGCACGGUAGAGGCGGAUGGAAUUCCCGGUGUAGCGGUGGAAUGCGUAGAGAUCGGGAAGAAUACCGGUGGCGAAGGCGUUCCGCUGGGCCGUUGCUGACGCUGAGGCGCGACAGCGUGGGGAGCAAACAGGA